GACGAACGCUGGCGGCGUGCUUAACACAUGCAAGUCGAGCGGUAAGGCCCCUUCGGGGGUACACGAGCGGCGAACGGGUGAGUAACACGUGAGCAAUCUGCCCUUCACACAGGGAUAACCUCGGGAAACCGAAGCUAAUACCUGAUACGACCACUUCAGGCAUCUGAUGGUGGUGGAAAGUUCCGGCGGUGAAGGAUGAGCUCGCGGCCUAUCAGCUUGUUGGUGGGGUAAUGGCCUACCAAGGCAACGACGGGUAGCCGGCCUGAGAGGGUGACCGGCCACACUGGGACUGAGACACGAUCCAGACUCCUACGGGAGGCAGCAGUGGGGAAUAUUGGACAAUGGGCGAAAGCCUGAUCCAGCAACGCCGCGUGAGGGAUGACGGCCUUCGGGUUGUAAACCUCUUUCAGCAGGGACGAAGCGCAAGUGACGGUACCUGCAGAAGAAGCACCGGCCAACUACGUGCCAGCCGCCGCAGUAAUAC
rnacentral:rRNA from 1 species